rnacentral:lncRNA from 1 species
CUCUGAACUGGAAAGAGGAAGAGAAAGAAAAAAGAGAGCGCUUUAGUUGGAGGGCUUGGACAGCUCCUCCUGGAGUCCCAGGACCUGCCUCUGCAGAGCUUCCCUCCGCUCUGGCCUUCCCGUCUAUAAACCAAGAAGAAUCGGGGCUCCAGCUUGCCAGGGCCAGCUCACUUCCGGGGAGAAUCCUGGGAGCAGGAAACCAAGAACAUGAUAAACUUCAGCGACUUGACAUUUCAAAAAGAGCUUACAUCCCUGCCUGAACCAGCCUCACCUCCCGUUCCCGGUGACUGUAAAACACAC